rnacentral:rRNA from 1 species
GAUGAACGCUGGCGGCGUGCCUAAUACAUGCAAGUCGAGCGAAUGGAUUAAGAGCUUGCUCUUAUGAAGUUAGCGGCGGACGGGUGAGUAACACGUGGGUAACCUGCCCAUAAGACUGGGAUAACUCCGGGAAACCGGGGCUAAUACCGGAUAACAUUUUGAACCGCAUGGUUCGAAAUUGAAAGGCGGCUUCGGCUGUCACUUAUGGAUGGACCCGCGUCGCAUUAGCCAGUUGGUGAGGUAACGGCUCACCAAGGCAACGAUGCGUAGCCGACGUGGGAGGGAGGUCGGCCACACUGGUACUGAGACACGGCCCAGACUCCUACGGGAGGCAGCAGUAGGGAAUCUUCCGCAAUGGACGAAAGUCUGACGGAGCAACGCCGCGUGAGUGAUGAAGGCUUUCGGGUCGUAAAACUCUGUUGUUAGGGAAGAACAAGUGCUAGUUGAAUAAGCUGGCACCUUGACGGUACCUAACCAGAAAGCCACGGCUAACUACGUGCCAGCCGCCGCGGUAA